rnacentral:rRNA from 1 species
AUACGGAGGGUGCAAGCGUUGUCCGGAUUUAUUGGGUUUAAAGGGUGUGUAGGCGGUGUAUUAAGUCAGUGGUGAAAGCCUGCGGCUCAACCGUAGAACUGCCAUUGAUACUGACACACUUGAGUAUGGACGAGGUAGGCGGAAUUUAUGGUGUAGCGGUGAAAUGCAUAGAUACCAUAAAGAACACCGAUAGCGAAGGCAGCUUACUAGGCCAUAACCGACGCUGAGGCACGAAAGCGUGGGGAGCGAACAGGAUUAGAUACCCUAGUAGUCC